rnacentral:lncRNA from 1 species
UGAUGAAAGAUUUAGACGAAAGACAUUAAUUGCUCAGAUACAGUUUAUUUAGAUGUUGGUGAAUGUUUUAAUUGAGUCUUUCAUCAUAUCUUUUUUGAUAGCAUGGGAAAAGCUGGAAACCAUCAUUCUCAGCAAACUAUCACAAGGACAAAAAACCAAACACCGCAUGUUCUCACUCAUAGGUGGGAAUUGAACAAUGAGAACACAUGGACACAGGAAGGGGAACAUCAUGCACCGGGGACGGUUGUGGGAUUUUUCAAUCCUCAUUGGGUUUUUUCAAAGAGUUCAGAAUUUUAGGGGUGUGUGAAAGUUCUUUGACAUCACAAUGUGAUGAAAGCACUCUUUACUUUAGUCUCUGUCAAGAUGUGGAAUGAACCAGGGAGUUCCCAGGGUCUGCUCUUCCACUGGGGAGUGGAAGAGAGAUAUCCUGUUCAAGGCUGGUUCAGCCACCAGCUAGAUUGUUACAUUAAAAAUAGGGACUCCAGGGGGAAAUUUUGAGCUCAAAAGGUCUCUAUCUCAUGGCUUUAUACUGCAUUUAGGAAGCAAUAUAUAAAAUACAUUGUAAAAAUUUCUAGCACAUUUUUUGGAUCUUUUUAUAGCACUUAGCACUACAUGCCAGUAAUAAAUAUGUUUACGUCCCUAUCAUUUCCUCUACAAGGGUAUAGGGGCUUACUGUUAGUGUUUUUGAUUC